CAACUGUGUCAUCACCUUGUAGUCUUUUCUCGUUUGAUUGUAUGUAUGCAUAAUUCCGCAUGAAUUUGUUAAAAUAAACAGUGAGUUCUUUUUCUGAAUACCCAAAAGAGUCAAAUACUUCAAGACUGUUCUUUCUAUUACAGAAAAAUGCUACCCAAUGUCUUCCUGGUAAGCCUGCGACAUCUGUAUUGGCUAUCACACCCAUUCCUGGUAGUAGGUGAACUUGAGACAGUUCAUCAGAUGAGAAUACACCAAGAACAGAUCGUUGUAAGUCAACGUCUGAAACAAUGGCACACUUGAGCUGGAACAUAAUGCGGAACUUCGAAAAUGUUUGACCAGUUUCCCAUAGAGGCUGCACUUAACCUUCGAAGAAGUGGCUUUUGUUCUCCAUCGACAAUAGAUUCACCACAAAUAUUAGAAUACAGAACCUGAAUCCACAGAUACUUUGAAAAGAUAUCCACGACGACUAAUAGGUAUCGAAACUGACCGUUUUCACUUGCAAUGUUUGACAUAUCAGCGAGGUCCAUGUCCCACUGAUCAUCAAUUCCAGAUACAAUUACACGUGCACGACGAAAAGAAUGACGGAGUUCCUUUCUUAAAGUGUAACUGUCUUGACUUCGUAAUAGUCUUUUUAUCCUGGAUCGUCCAACAUUAGUGAUUCCUUUGGAUUUUAAUAUUCUGUAUAUUUUUUCGGGACCUACAUGUGUGUUUUUAUAUGUGUUUGAUAUUAAAUCAUUUAUUCUA